rnacentral:precursor_RNA from 15 species
AAAAAAGAGAACACCAAGAGAUGGCGGGGCAAGCCCUUUUAUUAAUGAUUGAGAUGUUGCGAUAUUUUCCUCAGGCACUAAUAAAGGGUUUAUUUCUUCAUCUCAAAGCACAAAGCUCUUCAG